CCAGCGAUGGCGCCCUGGCGGCGCGGAAGCCCGCGGCCAAAUGACACGACUUGGGGGCAAAGGAGGACAACAGUUCCCACCAGGACAAAAAAUAAUAUCCAAAGAUAUUUUGGCACUAACGGCGCUAUCUGUAGCAAGAAAGUUGAGCAGUGUGAACUGUUGAGACUUCCAAGGAGACUUCAGACAACCAAGACAGUGUAAAGGAAAACAGAGAAAAAGACUUGUUAGACAUUAUUAAGGGCACGAAAGUUGAAUUGAGCACAGUAAAUGUACAAACAACAAAGCCACCCAACAGAAGUUCACUUAAAAGCUACAACUGGCGGGCCUCAAAGAGCUUUAGGACAUGCUCCAAAGAAGAGAAAUGAGCCCCUGAGUCCUGAGUUGGUGGCAGCUGCAUCUGCUGCUCUGUUUUGACAAGCAAACAAGCCAGAACUGCUCAGGCAGCUCCGUAGCAUGAGGAAGAGUCAGGGGCACAGAGAGAUGGAGAGAGACCUAGUUAGGAAAAAUAUAUUCAGGGGGAAGAGAUGUAAUAGAUUUCACAUUAUGGCAGUUACUAAAGAAGCACGUGAACAGACACAUCACCUUCACUUUGGGAUAUGGAAUUUGAUAAGCAGUUAGCCACAGAAUAUGAACAACCCCUUGAGAAUGAGAUUGAAGAACUGAUCCAGGGGACAAAAGAGGGGAAACUGAGAGUUCCCAAUUAAUAAUGAAGCAGCUUCAUAUCUAAGAUCUCUGGUGGACUUUUUCUGCCCGUGGACGCCGCUGAAGAAGCAUCGUUAAAGUCUCUCUUCACCUUGCCGUCAUGUCUAAGUCAGCGUCUCCAAA
ensembl:lncRNA novel transcript